rnacentral:misc_RNA from 1 species
AAAAAAAAAAAAAAAUCUACAGAGAGAGAGGGAGAGAGUUGACAUUUUAAAGAGACAGGGACUGUAGAAAUGGGGAUGGGAACUAAUGUGCGCAGGAAGGUGAUUCUGCAAUUGCUGUUAACGUUGUGGAUUUGGGGAAAUGUUCGAGUGAGUGAGGGAAUAUGGUUAAAUCUGCCGGCAUCGGGGACAAAGUGCGUUUCCGAGGAUCUCCACACCAAUGUUGUCGUAUU